CUAAUACGCGUGCGAGUCAGGGGCUCACACGAAAGCCACCCGUCGUGCAAUGAAGGUGAAGGCUGGCACCCACUGGCCAAAGUGGGAUCCCAAGGCCUUGGUCCUUCUUCCCUUCUUGCUGAGGGCGCACCACCAGCCCCUCUCGCCUGCCCCGCCGGGGAGGUGGAGCAUGAGUGUGUGUGUUAGGACCUGAAAGAUGGUGAACUAUGCCUGGGCAGGGCAAAGCCAGAGGAAACUCUGGUGGAGGUCCAUAGCUGUCCUGACAUGCAAAUCAGUUGUCUGGCCUGGGUAUAGGGGUGAAUGGUUCCCUCUGA
rnacentral:ncRNA from 1 species